CUUGAACCCAAUGCAAACAGGGUGGCACCGAAACCCCGGGGCCUUGGCAGCGUCUCCCAGGGAAACCGGAUCGACCGGGCUGGGGGACGCGAGGAGGCUGCAAUGGACACGCUGAGAUCCCUGCUCCGCCGUGCGUUAUCAAUCCAUGAGAGGACCUCUUAUCCCAUGACAGCUGACUUUGCUUAAGAGCCUUUGGUGAUGGACCUUGUCAAAGGCUUUCUGAAUAUCUUAGUACACUAUAUCCACUGGAUCCCCGUUGUCCACAUGCUUGUUGACCACCUCAAAGAAUUCUAGUAGA